UACAGACGGUCCAAACGUUAUUCGGAAUCACUUGGCUUAAAGAGUUCGUAGGCGGUCAGGAAAGUGGGGUGUGAAAGCCCUCGGCUUAACCGAGGAAUUGCGCUCCAAACUCCCUGACUUGAGGAGGCUAGAGGUAAGCGGAACUGAUGGUGGAGCGGUGAAAUGCGUUGAUAUCAUCAGGAACACCGGAGGCGAAGGCGGCUUACUGGGGCCUUUCUGACGCUGAGGAACGAAAGCUAGGGGAGCGAACGGG
rnacentral:rRNA from 1 species